GACGAACGCUGGCGGCGUGCUUAACACAUGCAAGUCGAACGGUGAAGCGCCUUCCUUUUUGGUGGGUGUGGAUGAGUGGCGAACGGGUGAGUAACACGUGAGUAACCUGCCCCCUUCUUCUGGAUAACCGCAUGAAAGUGUGGCUAAUACGGGAUAUUCUGGUUCUGUCGCAUGAUGGGUCUGGGAAAGAUAUUGUUUCGGUGGGGGAUGGGCUCGCGGCCUAUCAGCUUGUUGGUGGGGUGAUGGCCUACCAAGGCGGUGACGGGUAGCCGGCCUGAGAGGGUGGACGGUCACACGGGGACUGAGACACGGCCCAGACUCCUACGGGAGGAGGCAGUGGGGAAUGUUGCAAGAUGGGCGUAAGCCUGAUGCAGCGGCGCCGCGUGGGGGAUGGGGGCCGUCGGGUUGGGAACCUCUUUCGCCAGUGAAGCAGGCCUGCCUCGUUUGUGGGUGGGUGGACGGUAGCGGGAUAAGAAGCGCCGGCUAACUACGU
rnacentral:rRNA from 1 species